rnacentral:lncRNA from 1 species
UGGGCUGGAGGAUGCUGUGGCUCAGCUGAUCCAUCUUUAAUCAUCUGUGUUUUUAAACCGAGAGGAGCUUCUGAGGAACCCCAGCCCAGGUGACCAGCUGUAGGUCCCAGAGCAGGAGCUGCUGCCAUGACUGACACUCAGCCCAGAGAUGGGUCAGCUGGAAACAGCUCAGACGAUGAUGAACCUUUGAGUGAAAUGGCGAAGAGGAAAAAGGCACCCGAGAAGACUCAAUAUUCAGAGGAAGCACAUAAAAAAGAGCUCUCCAAAUCAGAGGAUGAUGAAUCGCUCCUGACGCUGAUGAAGAGGAAGAACAAAAAAACAGGCACAGAGGAGACAGCAGUGCUAGAUUCCAACAAGACAAGAAGUCCAAGAAAGCAAAAAACAGAAGUAAAGACCGAAAAGCACAGACAGGCAUCACCAUCACAAAAGACCUCCCAAAAAAGAGCAAGAAAAGGUAAACGGGAAACAAGGAAAACGGCAUCAGCACCACCUAAAAAAAGAGGGUGUGCUAAACAAAAGGACACACAGAGACAAGCGCCCUCUUGUGACAGCUCUGAUAAUGAGCCUUUGGUUGAGCUGGUGAAGAAGAAGAGGCAGCCGGAGAUGAAGCGGGCGGUGGUGCUGCUGAAGCGGAUGUCUAACAGAGACAUUAUUAGCAUGAUUACACAGGGACACGAAUGCAGCCAAGUGCAGAAGAGCACAGUCAAAGUGGAUGAGAAGAGUAAAGCAGAAAGUUCAGAUGAGGAGCCGCUGAGUCACAAAGUGAAGAGACUGAAACAGCACAGUAAACCUGUGAGAGGCAGAGCAACCACAGGUAAGAAUGAAUAAGGUCAGAUUAUGUUUGUUGUUUAAUCAACACACUGGAAGGUCUGACUCCUGUUAGAGAAAUUGAAAAUGGCAACAGAAUGAGAUUAUUGCUAUGUGGGGAGGAAAAGUUACAAUGCUCAUCACCCUAAACAUACUAUCCCCACUGUGAAACAUGGUGGUGGCAGCAUCAUGCUGUAGAUGAGAUGAGGCUUCUCCUCAGCAGGGACAGAGAAGUUAGUCAGAGCUGAUGGAUGGAGAUAAAAACAGAAAAAUCCUGGAAGAAAACCUGUUGAAGGCAACAAAAGGCUUGAGACAGGAAAAGAGAUUCACCUUCAAGCAAGACAGUGACUCUAAACAUACAGCCUGAGCUACAGUGGAAUGGUUUAAAUCAAAGAAUAUUCAUGUGUUAGAAUGGCCCAGUCUUAAAUCACAUUAAGCUUCUGUGGCGAGAUGUGAAAAUUGCUGUUCACAGAAGCUCUCCAUCCAGCCAAAAGUCUCAGUUUCUAGAUGAGCAAAGCUGGCAGAGACAAACCCCAAAACACUUACAGCUGUAGUUGCAGUGAAUGGUUGCUCUACUAAGUAUUGAUAUACUUUUGCACGUCACACUUUUCUUUUCUUUUUUUUGGAUAGUAAUGUUGAAAACCAUGUAUCAUUUUCGUUCCACUUCACUCACUCACUCACUCAUCGACCACUUUAUCCAUCAAGGGUUGAGGGGGGGCUGGGGCCUAUCCCAGCCAGCAUCGGGCGGAUGGCAGUAUACAUCCUGGAUGUAUACUGUAUACAUCGGGCGGAUGUAUAAGUAUACAUCCUUCACUCUUAUGCAAUUUGUUGUGUUUGUCUAUCACUUAAAAUAUCAAUAAAAUACAUUUUAGUUUUAGUGCUUGUAAGGUG